ACCUCUUGUCGGGCUGCAGGGGAAUAAAUGUGGGCCCACAGACGUAAAUUUUAAUAAAAUUCACAUUUUGUGAGGAAGUUUGGAAUCUCCGAGGAGUCAUAUUUUGAUUAAAAGGUCAGUCCUGACUGUGUCCAGAGACCAGCCAUAUGGACGGGGCAUGGAGGAGCCACUGUUUCACAACCCACUGGUCAGGAGCAGCUUGUUGGACUCUGCAGCUGACUGUAGAGUGACCCGGAAGUUGGCAACCGGAGGACCGUCGCCAUGUUGGAAGGAAAACAAACAGUGAUACACGCUGUCAUCCAUAGAGAGUAGUGCACGCCUGGAUUCCUACAAGUAUUUUUUUUCUGGCUUUGUGGGAGCGCCGGGACAGUAUCGAAUGGGCAACACGG